rnacentral:lncRNA from 1 species
ACGCUUUCUUUCCUGUGGGAAAUAAGAAGUCAGGCAUUUUUUCCCUCUGGCAAUGGAUCGCUUGCUAGGUCCUGUGGCUUUGGACUGGAGCUUCCACCAUCAAGCACAGCACUGCUGCGGUCCUACUGAACUCAUGGCCUCAGCUCUGCUGCAGGAGAGAGAGGAAGAGCAUGAAGAAGUAGAUGGGGCAGUGGUCCUUUCCUAGAACUGACUGCUGUGAAGCAGUAGACAUAGCAUUUAGGAACAAUUUUGUCAUUCUUUACCUGCAAUAAGCAUUAUAGAAUGCAUCCAACAUAGGGGAGAAUUGGAUAAAUCAGGAUAAAUGGCCUGAAAGGCACAUGCAAUGAUGAUAAUGGACAGUACGAUCAGCUGUUGUGUUCCUUUGUGUCAGAACAGAAGCAACAAUAUGUGGUCACUCUAAUAAACGCAGCAAGAAUAUAGAAACUUUAUGUUAC